UAGGGAAUCUUCCGCAAUGGACGCAAGUCUGACGGAGCAACGCCGCGUGAGUGAAGAAGGAUUUCGGUUCGUAAAACUCUGUUGUUAGAGAAGAACAGCGCAUAGAGUAACUGUUAUGCGUGUGACGGUAUCUAACCAGAAAGCCACGGCUAACUACGUGCCAGCAGCCGCGGUAAUACGUAGGUGGCAAGCGUUGUCCGGAUUUAUUGGGCGUAAAGCGAGCGCAGGCGGUCAAUUAAGUCUGAUGUGAAAGCCCCCGGCUCAACCGGGGAGGGUCAUUGGAAACUGGUUGACUUGAGUGCAGAAGAGGAGAGUGGAAUUCCAUGUGUAGCGGUGAAAUGCGUAGAUAUAUGGAGGCACACCAGUGGCGCAGGCGACUCUCUGUUCUGUAUCUGACGCUGAGGCUCGAAAGCGUGGGUAGCAAACAGG
rnacentral:rRNA from 1 species